rnacentral:tRNA from 1 species
GGGCCCGUAGCUCAGCGGUUAGAGCAGGCGACUCAUAAUCGCUUGGUCACUGGUUCGAAUCCAGUUGGUCCCA